rnacentral:rRNA from 1 species
GUGCCAGCCGCAGCGGCGGCGGUAAUACGUAGGUGGCAAGCGUUGUCCGGAUUUAUUGGGCGUAAAGGGAACGCAGGCGGUCUUUUAAGUCUGAUGUGAAAGCCUUCGGCUUAACCGAAGUCGUGCAUUGGAAACUGGGAGACUUGAGUGCAGAAGAGGAGAGUGGAACUCCAUGUGUAGCGGUGAAAUGCGUAGAUAUAUGGAAGAACACCAGUGGCGAAAGCGGCUCUCUGGUCUGUAACUGACGCUGAGGUUCGAAAGCGUGGGUAGCAAACAGGAUUAGAUACCCUGGUAGUCCACGCUGUAAACGAUGAAUGCUAAGUGUUGGAGGGUUUCCGCCCUUCAGUGCCGCAGCAAACGCAUUAAGCAUUCCGCCUGGGGAGUACGACCGCAAGGUUGAAACUCAAAGGAAUUGACGGGGCCCGCACAAGCGGUGGAGCAUGUGGUUUAAUUCGAAGCAACGCGAAGAACCUUACCAGGUCUUGACAUCUUCUGAUAACCUAAGAGAUUAGGUGUUCCCUUCGGGGACA